GACGAACGCUGGCGGCGUGCCUAACACAUGCAAGUCGAGCGAGUGGAGUUCUUCGGAACAAAGCUAGCGGCGGACGGGUGAGUAACACGUGGGCAACCUGCCUUAUAGAGGGGAAUAGCCUCCCGAAAGGGAGAUUAAUACCGCAUAAGAUUGUAGCUUCGCAUGAAGUAGCAAUUAAAGGAGUAAUCCGCUAUGAGAUGGGCCCGCGGCGCAUUAGCUAGUUGGUGAGGUAACGGCUCACCAAGGCGACGAUGCGUAGCCGACCUGAGAGGGUGAUCGGCCACAUUGGGACUGAGACACGGCCCAGACUCCUACGGGAGGCAGCAGUAGGGAAUCUUCGGCAAUGGGCGAAAGCUUGACGCAGCAACGCCGCGUGAGUGAUGACGGCCUUCGGGUUGUAAAGCUCUGUCUUCAGGGACGAUAAUGACGGUACCUGAGGAGGAAGCCACGGCUAACUACGUGCCAGCAGCCGCGGUAAAAC
rnacentral:rRNA from 1 species